rnacentral:misc_RNA from 1 species
AAUAACAAAGACUGGCUGGACCUGUACGUGUCAUUUGUCAAAUAAAAUUAUCUGCGAAAAUUAUUUACUAUGUAAUUUCAAACUUUUAUUUUAUUAAUAAAUUUAUAUAUGUUAUUUUAAUGAAACAUAAAAUGGUCAAAUUUCACAUUGAAAAGAACAUGCAGAGUAAGUUACGUUGAAAUAGAGACUUGGCGAAGAUUUCAAAAUGAAUUUAA